rnacentral:rRNA from 2 species
UGGAUGAUCCCGCGGCGUAUUAGUUAGUUGGUGAGGUAAAGGCCCACCAAGACGAUGAUACGUAGCCGACCUGAGAGGGUAAUCGGCCACAUUGGGACUGAGACACGGCCCAAACUCCUACGGGAGGCAGCAGUAGGGAAUCUUCCACAAUGGACGAAAGUCUGAUGGAGCAAUGCCGCGUGAGUGAAGAAGGGUUUCGGCUCGUAAAACUCUGUUGUUAAAGAAGAACACCUUUGAGAGCAACUGUUCAAGGGUUGACGGUAUUUAACCAGAAAGCCACGGCUAACUACGUGCCAGCAGCCGCGGUAAUACGUAGGUGGCAAGCGUUGUACGGAUUUAUUGGGCGUAAAGCGAGCGCAGGCGGUUUUUUAAGUCUGAUGUGAAAGCCUUCGGCUUAACCGGAGAAGUGCAUCGGAAACUGGGAGACUUGAGUGCAGAAGAGGACAGUGGAACUCCAUGUGUAGCGGUGGAAUGCGUAGAUAUAUGGAAGAACACCAGUGGCGAAGGCGGCUGUCUAGUCUGUAACUGACGCUGAGGCUCGAAAGCAUGGGUAGCGAACAGGAUUAGAUACCCUGGUAGUCCAUGCCGUAA